UCCUGGAGGCUGAUAUUUCACAUCACCACGUUGCCAUGCCCGUCUGUGACAAGGAGAAAAUUUUAGUCAUCGCCUCAUUGGGUUGCAAACCUUUAUGAACACCGCAACUAAUAGCCCCGGCUUGUGUGAUGUGGAGAAUUGCUUCAGCACAGAGAUACUGCAAACCUGUUCAGUUAAAGGAAAUGCUCAGAUCCAGCUGUUGGAGUCCCAUGAAUGCCAGUACUCCUCACAGAGCAGCAGCUGAGCCCACAGGCUCUGUGCAAGAAAUUUUGCUGAAGAAAUCCCCUCUGCACGUGGCCAGCAGCCUGAAUCAACCUUUUCUGGUGGAUGGUGA